rnacentral:lncRNA from 1 species
AUGAAACCGGAGCUCAGGGAGCUUGAGGAACCAGGCCAAGGUCGUUCGGAACGGGGGGGGGGGGGGGACGGUACCAGACCUCUCCCCGCCUCCCCGCCCAGGAUCCCGCUCCCAGCCCGCCCCGGCCCCGAACUCCAGACCCGCGACGUCACCCGGAAGCGUCGCGUGCGCAGCUGUAAACACAGCCCGCGACCACCCCCCCGCCCCAUGCUCCCCGGUCCCGCCCCCGCCCGCCACGUGAUGCGCCCCCGCCGGCCCGGACCCAGCGCCCGCCCCCGCUGCGGCCUCAUUGGGCGGCUAGCUUUGUUUACCUUAUAUGGCCAGGUCCUAACACUCUGCGGCCACCCAUUGGCCGUGGCGCGGCCUCACUCACUUGACGUCAUUCGGGACCGAACGAUGCAAAUAAACCGGGGCAUUCUGGGAAUGGGAGUUCGGGGGGGCCCCGCCGGAACUGGCUCCGCCAGGUCCUGGCGCCCGCACCCGCAAGCCAAGUCUUCCGGCCGAGCGCACGGGAAUGUGCGUGGGAAAGUGGGAGCCCCGCGGGGAGGGGACCCCUCGCCGGCUUGUUCCGGGCACCGGCCUGUCCCCAAACGCUUCUCGCGCCUAUUGAGUGCCCAGCGCCAGGCCCGCAUCACGAGUGGGCCAUGUGAGCUUGUGCUCGGGGCGUUGGGGAACCCGGAAGGCUUCCUGGAGGCGGUGAUAUUUUGCAGAGCCCUAAGGGGCACAUUCAUCCAUUCAUUCAUUCAUUCAUUCAGUGCAGGAGUGUUUACUGGCGCCUACUGUGUGCCAGGGCUCUGGGGCCGUGCGCCCUCGUGCUCACGAUGCAUGCCAGGACUGCCAGGGCCCCCCGCCCCUAAGCGUGCGCCUGUCCAACGCGGAGGCCCGGCGCAGACCCCGCGGACCACCGCCCGCUGGCGCCGCCGGCCGGGGCCGCGUCCGGACACACCUCCCUGCGCCCCCGGGCCGGCCGCGGCGCGGGACUACAUCUCCCAGCAUGCCCCCGCGGCCCCGAGCCAGGCGAGGCUCGGUGAGUCAGAGCCGCACAGUAAAUAUUUGUAUUAG